rnacentral:rRNA from 1 species
GACGAACGCUGGCGGCGUGCUUAACACAUGCAAGUCGAGCGGUAAGGCCCUUUCGGGGGUACGACGAGCGGCGAACGGGUGAGUAACACGUGGGUGACCUGCCCUCAGCUCUGGGAUAAGCCUGGGAAACUGGGUCUAAUACUGGAUAUGACUCCACGGUGCAUGUCGGUGGGGUGGAAAGCCUUGUGCGGCUGAGGAUGGGCCCGCGGCCUAUCAGCUUGUUGGUGGGGUGAGGCCUACCAAGGCGACGACGGGUAGCCGGCCUGAGAGGGCGACCGGCCACACUGGGACUGAGACACGGCCCAGACUCCUACGGGAGGCAGCAGUGGGGAAUCUUGCGCAAUGGGCGAAAGCCUGACGCAGCGACGCCGCGUGAGGGAUGAC